UGCGGGGCCGCGCCUGGCAAAGAAAGUUAAACACAACUGGUCCGGGGGCGGCGGGGAGGGCUGCGCUGGAAGAUAAUGACCGGAGUAUCCGAAGAGCUCAGGUUGCACCGAGCACAUGCUGCACUAAAAGAUAAUAAGCACAUGCCCUCUUCAGCUUUUUGGGGGAAAUUCAGGCCAAGAAAAGGCGCAGCUAAAUAAAGCGCACCCCCUUAAAGUUACGAGCACACGGCUCCAAGCUCAGCAGAGCGUGCUCUUAAGGACAGGGACAAUCAAUGGCUUUUUCAGGUCACCAGGCUGUGUGCUUGCUGGCUACCAGCGAUCAGCAGCCAAUUUUGCCCACAAAGCCAACGGAUAGGCACCAGAGAAAGGGAUUGUCAGGGGACUGAGUUGUGCAGUGUCCACACGUUGGGCAUUUCUGCAGUCCUUCUUUCUUUCCUGCUCCCAACCACAUCCCCAUACCCUUCAGCUCAAGAUAGAUGUAGAGGAGGACAGAGAUUGAUGCCACUCGUGUUUUUGUAUCAGUUGCCUUGCAGGUUUAGUUUAGCCAGUUUGGAUCUUUUUCACUGGCAACUUGCCGGCCAGAAAUUUUUCUUCUCCUUUAAGGGGAUUCCCCCCAGUAAAGCGUUCAGGAGUAGUAGUAUAGUUUGUGUACUUUGAGUAAAUCAAACCUUUUAGUCUUUGGCAGUUGCAUCUACAAGCAGUAAAAUCUUAUGUCAGCACAGUGUAUAGAGUGCAGGAUACCUAAUAGCUAGUAAACCAUUUAAAAAAGUCUUUGGCUUGAUCAGAUGUAGUGCUUAAUGUAUAGUGCUGUAUCUUGCCCAGCACAUAAUUAGUAUUGAGGAUGGAAAAGCCUCCCCUGUGGACCAUGACACCACAGACCUAAACUGGCAUUUUUUCACACAUUAGAGUUUUCUUUCUUUAGUGGAAGGCAUUUCUUUGCUUGUUUUAAAAAUCACUCUCUAAGACUUAACAGACUGUAUUAGCGUAUUGUGUAUCUUAAAUGAACCUUGCAAGCUCUAGCAGUGUAUUCUUCUUCCCAUAUAGGCACUGUGUAGGGUGGGCAGGCAAGCAGUAUUGUAGUGCCAGAGAGAUCAAACGUUGGCUAGGAAAAAAAAACAACCCCAGCCCUAACCUGGGAAAUAAAAAUUAACCAUCC